rnacentral:rRNA from 1 species
AGUGAACGCUGGCGGUAGGCCUAACACAUGCAAGUCGAGCGGCAGCACAGUAAGAGCUUGCUCUUACGGGUGGCGAGUGGCGGACGGGUGAGGAAUACAUCGGAAUCUACUUUUUCGUGGGGGAUAACGUAGGGAAACUUACGAUAAUACCGCAUACGACCUACGGGUGAAAGCAGGGGAUCUUCGGACCUUGCGCGAUUGAAUGAGCCGAUGUCGGAUUAGCUAGUUGGCGGGGUAAAGGCCCACCAAGGCGCCGAUGCGUAGCUGGUCUGAGAGGAUGAUCAGCCACACUGGAACUGAGACACGGUCCAGACUCCUACGGGAGGCAGCAGUGGGGAAUAUUGGACAAUGGGCGCAAGCCUGAUCCAGCCAUACCGCGUGGGUGAAGAAGGCCUUCGGGUUGUAAAGCCCUUUUGUUGGGAAAGAAAAGCAGCAGGUUAAUACCCCGCGGUUCUGACGGUACCCAAAGAAUAAGCACCGGCUAACUUCGUG